AUAUUUUAUAAUGUAAGAUUCUCAAUUUAGCAUAUUUAUAUAUGAUAUGUAGAUCAUACCCCAAAAUCAAUAUACAGUUAUCAAACAUUAAUGCAUUUUAAUAUAGGGUGUAAUUAAAUGGAGGGCCAUUCUUAUAUAAAAUCUCGCAAAAUUAUGACACAUAUUUUUGGCACAUCCCCGUGUACCCAAUAAUAUGAAGUUGACCCCCC
rnacentral:lncRNA from 1 species